CAGGUAGAGAGAGAGACGGGGUCAAUAGGCAGUCCUGAACAAACUGUUUUCCAUUUAUAGUCUGGCUCGGUAAGGUGGAGUGCUUUUCAGAAAGAUGUAACCUUUCUUGAUGAUGAUGAUGAUGCGCAAGCUUUGGUUUUUUAGGCCUAGUAUUUAUCUGCCCAUUGCGGCGGCUCUUAAUCGAGACGCUAAAAUAGAAAAAGGGACAGCCAGACAUUUUUUCGGUAAUUGUUCAAAUUACUAGGAACAGGGAAAAGGCACCCCGUAUAAGAACCUUUCCGAGCGCCCAAUUCUACCUAUCAGCUCUCGCUCACUUCCGUCAAGAAUCCCGGAAAGCUACCCGGUACCCAAAAAGCAAGAAUGUCCGUACUGGGUUUCGAUGAGCUGAGCCUGAUUCUUCAACGGGUACCCGACCCCAACGAUCGGAAAUCGUUCUCUGAAGUCUGCAAGCAGUGGCUGAGAGUCGAAGGCCUGAACCGGUUCGCGAUUAGGGUUCUUGAGCCCGAUCUCAUGCGUCGCUUCCUGCCCAGGUUCCCGAAUUUAGUACAGUUCGAGUGUUCGAAGCUGAUCACGGAUUCUGAUGCCGAUUUCGUGUCCAAGACGUGCUCAAAGAUCGAAUCUUUACACCUCAGCUACAAGCAGCCGUGCGACGCCUGCUGUGAUUUCGGCGAGGCUUCGGGCGUUGAGGAUUUUGGGAGUGAUGGGCUGUGUGCUUUGGUGAAUGGCUGUCCGAGGAUCUUGAAGGUUUUGUUGGGGAGGAGAAAGAAUGUUGAGGACCUGGGGGUUAUGUCACUAGUUGAACGUGCGAAGAAUUUGAGGACUUUGGAUUUGGGUUGGUGUAGUUUGAUUACUGAUCAAUCUCUAGAAGCGAUAGGCCGAGCGAGUUGUAUUCGCACCUUGAAUUUGGAAGGUUGUUCUAUGAUUUCGGAUUCCGGGUUGGCUUAUUUGGCGAACGGGUCUUUGGCAAGAACUCUGAAGAAGUUGGUUCUUGCAGAAUGUGACAAGAUUACGGACAGUGGGGCUUCGGUGUUGCCACUGUUCUGCUGUUUGGAGGAGUUGAAUAUCGCAGAAUGCGGGCCGAAGGUCACCGAUGAUGGAGGAGUUGCAAUUGCUGCUAUUAAAUCCUUGAGGAAGCUAAAUUUGGCCUGGCUGAUAAAUGUAUCUGACAUCACUCUCUUGGCACUUGCUGAGAACUGUGAAAAUUUGGCGUCCAUUGAUUUAACUGGCUGUGAGCUGAUUAAUGGAGCUGGAAUUCGCGCCUUUGAGAAUCAUUCUUGUUUGGAAUCUCUAGUUUUGGCUAAUUGUCAUGGUGUUAAUGUGCAUGACAUAGAGCAGACGGUGCUUGGGUGCCAGUCUCUGCGGUAUAUUGUGCUUCAAAAAGGAUUGAGAAUGUGGAUGCCGGAAGCAAUGCGAGAGAACAUCUGUAGACUAUGCACUGUUGACUGGAAAUGAUGGAUAUCUCAUGAUUCCAUAGGUUAGCAUAGUUGGAUUGCUAAUUUGCUAGUUCGAAUGGAUGCUGAUUUCUUUUUUGGACUAUGCAAGCAAGCAACUGUAGCAUUUGCAAGACUUUUCGUCCUUGUCUGCAAUAUACCUGCAUAAAGCGAUAGUAUAUGUUAGUGCCCUCUCUCUUUUUGUGUGCUUGGGUUGUAUGAAUUGUUUUCUGCAGGAUAAUGAAAUGCUCCAAGACUUUGCAGAGUUGAUAACUAGGUUCAGAAAAGUUCUACAUUGAGCAUCACAUGGUUGAAUUGCUAAAAGAAGAUUAGCUGUUCGUCUUUUCAGUUACAUGAGGAGUUUGAACAUAUGCCAGCUCUUUCUUAUUUUUCGCCGAAUUUCACCUGUUUGUCUCUAGGCACAAGGUGAGAAUUUUAAGUAUUCUUGUAGUAUGAUCUUAGCCCUUUUAAGAGUUCUAUUUGAAGAGCGUAUAACUAACUUCGAUGAAUUUCUUCCUCGAGUUUUCAGGGUAUUUCCAAUCAUUUCUUUACUUAAGCAUUUGGUCCCUUUCUAUCAACCAGAUCAAGCAUGUUACAUCAUGCUGCUUCAUUUUAUCUCUGAUUCAACCGUGGAAACAAUGACUCAAUGAUACCAUUGAUUGCAUCAGAAGAAUUCCUGAGUUUUCGUUGUUCACAGAUGUUAUCAUGUAUCCAGAUCCUUUGAACAAUAAGUCCUAGAAAGCAGAUUGGUAAAUGUAGAAUGUCUGUUUGUCCACCGCUUCAGACAGUUUGUUGAUCUCCAUAGAUGUCCUUAUGUGUUAUUAUGUGUUGGCUCUUUUGUCCGGUAGAGCUGUUGUAAAUUGGUUCUUUCUUAUCUUCAUAUGAUCGGUUCUUUGUUUCCCCUCUUUCCGGGUUGCGCACUAAGCGAAAUAGUUCCUCAGAACACAUUGUAAACUCAAAUUAGGAAAGAGCGCAAUGUAUGGAGAGCUUUGCGAUUUGUCAUCGACAUGCUUACGUGCGCCAUUUAUGAACCAAAGCACAAGCAAUUGACUGUAUACUUUUUUCAGAUGGCAAUAAGUUUUCUUGCCUCUGCCAUGUGAUAACGCUAUGAGAAUUAUCGUGAAUUGCAAGUUUGUUUUUUUGUGCUCUGUAUUGCCUUAAAUUUUUCUAGAGCAUCUCAAAAUCGACCCAGAUAUAAUCACAUUAUGAUGUACUUUGACAUGUUUGUCAGCCAGAAUAAUUUUCUCUUCCUUUCCAUCUUCUUACGUUGAGUAUAAUGAGAUUGAUGGUUAGCACCGAAAGUUUUCAUCUUCCAUAAGAUGGUUAUGGUUAUGGAUCAGUAAGCAUUAGGGUUGAGAAAUGAUUUGUUAAUCAUUGAAGGUGCAGAUGAAAACCAAGGAUGGCAAUUUCGGUCUGAUGUCCAAAUUUUAUUCACAUUGUUAAACAGUAACCACGAUCAAGCUGAUUACAGUUGCUUCAAUUCAUACAAUGGUGCUGAAGAUGUUGGGGAACCUUCUCCAAUCUGAAGUUGGAGUCUGAAGAUGGCAGAAGUUGACCAAUAUUCAAGCUGCUCCUGUAAUAUUACUUCAUGUGUGUGCUCGAAGGCGCUGGCUUGAUUUUAUAUUAGCUUUUUGUGUUGUACUGCUGACUGAUGUACAAUUCUUCCUGCUAUUUCUAGUAGAGUCUCUCAUGGAUAUGAGCUUUUCCUAUCAAUCUGUUCCUUUGGCUUUGAAGAUGCAAUUUAUUGUAUUCUUUUAAAGGAAUAUGAAGUUGGAACUGAAGGAGAGAAUCACUGGACCAUGCAAUCGGAGCAGUGGGAGGAGAGAAGAAUGACUGUAAUAAUGGUGUGGGUAGGCGAUUAAUAGACUCCAACAACGAAGUCAUGUCUGGUUUUUCCUUGAAUGAGACAAUGCCAGUUCGAGGUUCAUGGACUAGAAGAGAUGAAAUCUGCAUUUUCUCGUUACCUCCUCAAGAUUCUCAGCAUUAAAUGGAGGAUUUUGCGGGCGUAGAACUAUUUCGCAUAUCCUCGGUAUCAUACUCAAGCCAUGCAUGCCGUUUUCAUGCCUGCUCUCAUGAAUGAAACUGAGGCUGAAAGUUCAGCAGUGGAACUCGGCGUAAGCUGGCCCACUUGAAGGUGUGCUCAAACUGCUCCAUCUCAAUUGGCAAAGUCGAUACUGUUCUAUGGUAGCAUAGUGUGGUAUCAGCAACAGCAAUAACAACAAUCGUCGUGCAACUAUAAUCUUGUGUGCUUCUUUUUCUCUUUUAAUCGUAUUGCCUGAGAGAUCCACUCCAUCUUGUUGA